CCGGUUUUCCACUAGGCGGAAUUUUGCGCGCGGAGCGGAAUCUUUCUCCACUCCGUGUACAAAAUUCCGCCUAGUGGAAAACCGGCU